rnacentral:lncRNA from 1 species
UAACCCUUGGCCUCUGGCCUGCUGGUAUAGAAGAGGCCGAGAGGCGGCGCCCGGGAGGGGCCAGCCCUGCGCCCGCGCCCCCCGCCCCCACGCCGCAGGAAGUGGCCCGGGCGGCCUAGGAAGGGGAAGAGCCGAGUUGCCCCAGCCCCGCACCCCCAGCCCCAGCCCCGCGUGCAGCUCGCACCCCUUCCCACGCCUGUUCGGGGGAGAGCCCCGGGCCUGGAGUGGGAAGCCUGGCUCCAGCUCUGGUUACCUGCAGUGACUCCCCAGGCCGUUUAGGCGAGUCCAUUGGGCCGCCUCUGCCUCGGUUUCCCCACCUAACCACGGAAGGUGCUCCUCCCUUCCAGGCAUCUGUGGUCUUCGAGCUCCACGCGGGAGAGGCGCCGGUCUGGCACCUCCUGCCCAGGGUCGGCGCCUCCUGGCUCUCGGGGAGGGGGGCAUCCUCCAUCCCCUGCACCUGCCUCGAGAGGAACCAGGGACAGAGCACCCCCACCCCCACCAGGAGCUCCGGAAAAACGGCUUCAGAAGAGCAAAUAUACACACACACCCACCUCCCGCCCCAAACAUCCCCGAAGAAAGGUAACCACAGAAACAGCCAGAAAUGUGGAGCUGGGCGAUCGUAUGAGGCUGAGACAAAACUGUCUUUCUAGCGUCUCUAGGGGAGAGCUUGAAUCCCUCCUUCCACUCCUCCUCCACGGAAAACAGAGUGAACUCCUGCUACAGAGGCCGCCAGAGCAACAUGCAAGACCAGCUUUGAGGGGAGCGGGCACAGGGCCUUGCAGGGAAGGUGGGCCGAGCCCAGACCCCUCAUUCUUACUUGGCUCUGAAGGCGGAAAGGCAAAGCUAGACCUCGAGGAAGUUCCCCUCCCUGUGGGCCCUACAGUGAAGAUUACAUGAAGGCAUGUGGGCGGUGGACCAGAGUGCACCGACUGAUGAAGGCGGCCCGGUACCCGCGGGUGCCAUGCCUCCUUCUUAGCCAAGGCCACUCUAGCUCCCCGUGAAGUAUCCAGGUAGAAGGCUGGUGGGGUUACAGAGGAGGACUGUCUACCCACCCCGAAGCUUCAUGGAGAGAGAGCACACCGUCGUUAUUCAAUAUGUAGUUUUGAAUUUAACUAGAGCAAAGAAGAAAGCAAAUUCAGGUGGAAGGAAGAAGAAAAGGGAAAAGGGCUGUCCCCAUCCUUCUAAGGAGAUGGUGCAGUGGCUCACCUUUGGGAGGCCGAGGCAGGCAGAUCACUUGAGCUCAGCAGUUUGAGACCAGCCUGGGUAACAUAGUGAAACCCCAUCUCUACAGAAAUUAAAAAAUUAGCCAGACAUGGCGGCGCACACCUGUGGUCCCAGCUACUCAGGAGGCUGCGGCAGAAGUAUGCCUUGAGCCAAAGAGGCAGAGAUUGCAGUGAGCCAAGAUCAUGCUACUGCACUCCAGCCUGGGCAACGAAGCAAGACUGUCUCAGGAAAAAAAAAAAAAAUGAUCAUUUUUCUCUGUCCACUUGGUGGGUCAACUGAAUGGUAUUCCUGUGUCUUCUACUCUCCUCCCACUUGGAAACCCACUGAGAUGCUCUUCCGAAGGCCAGUGCAUGCUGGGCCACACGAGACAGAGCUCAGGCUGGAGGAGCCUCAUACCCGCCCCUCUAGAUGCUUAUAAAAAUACUUCCCACCUUUGAAUCAAGUGGAAAAUGAGGCUCUCCAGUCAAAAGCCGCGACUGUAUAGAAAGCCCUGAGUUGCCCAAUCUGUUCACAUGGCAUCACCAACCUCUGUGUCAUCAUCAAGCUGUCCAGGGGACUCGAUGGCCACCUGGCCAGGAACUGCGGGCUGAUUGGAAGCUGUUGUUCCCAUUGUAUAAUCACACACAUCAUAAAAUAAUCAGUCUUGUCUCUAUUUACAAUUUUGAUGUUUUGUUCAUCACAAAUUUUUAUAUUAAUUUUUAGUUUAACAAACAUUGCACUAAAAUAAUGUUUCUCUUGAUGACCGAGUUUGGGUGCCCUUUCUAUUCUGUGUACAAGAUGAGAGCCUCACUGGCCUCCCCCAAUCCUGGCACUGCCGGAGGCUUUCCUGCGCCCCCUGUGUACUUGUAAGUGC